CUUUUUGCGGUCUGGGCUUGCUGUUCCUUUGUCCAACACUCAGGAAGCCCUUACCCCAAAAAGUAU
rnacentral:pre_miRNA from 1 species